GAGAGGUGGGUGAGUGGCUUAAACCACAGGUUUGCUAAACCUGCGUACUCCGAUAGGGGUACCGAGGGUUCGAAUCCCUCCCUCUCCG
rnacentral:tRNA from 1 species